rnacentral:rRNA from 1 species
GACGAACGCUGGCGGCGUGCUUAACACAUGCAAGUCGAACGGUAAGGCCCUUCGGGGUACACGAAUGGCGAACGGGUGAGUAACACGUGGGUGAUCUGCCCUGCACUUCGGGAUAAGCCUGGGAAACUGGGUCUAAUACCGGAUAGGACUCCUGCCUGCAUGGGUGGGGGUGGAAAGCUUUUGUGGUGUGGGAUGGGCCCGCGGCCUAUCAGCUUGGUGGUGGGGUGAUGGCCUACCAAGGCGACGACGGGUAGCCGGCCUGAGAGGGUGACCGGCCACACUGGGACUGAGAUACGGCCCAGACUCCUACGGGAGGCAGCAGUGGGGAAUAUUGCACAAUGGGCGCAAGCCUGAUGCAGCGACGCCGCGUGAGGGAUGACGGCCUUCGGGUUGUAAACCUCUUUCAGCACAGACGAAGCGCAAGUGACGGUAUGUGCAGAAGAAGGACCGGCCAACUACGUGCCAGCAGCCGCGGUAA